rnacentral:rRNA from 1 species
GUGGGGAAUAUUGGACAAUGGGCGCAAGCCUGAUCCAGCAAUGCCGCGUGGGUGAAGAAGGUCUUCGGAUCGUAAAGCCCUUUCGACAGGGACGAUGAUGACGGUACCUGUAGAAGAAGCCCCGGCUAACUUCGUGCCAGCAGCCGCGGUAAUACGAAGGGGGCUAGCGUUACUCGGAAUUACUGGGCGUAAAGGGCGCGUAGGCGGCUCUGUUAGUCAGGCGUGAAAUUCCUGGGCUUAACCUGGGGACUGCGCUUGAUACUGCAGGGCUUGAGGCCGAGAGAGGGUGGUGGAAUUCCCAGUGUAGAGGUGAAAUUCGUAGAUAUUAGGAAGAACACCAGUGGCGAAGGCGGCUUACUGGUCCGGAACUGACGCUGAGGUGCGAAAGCGUGGGGAGCAAACAGGAUUAGAAACCCGAGUAGUCC